UGAAAGGAAAGUUUUGCUUUGUGUUGUUUUGGAUAAAGAUUAGAAAGAAAUGACAAAAAGGAAGUUUGAAUUUGCAAUAAAUAAUCACAUGCAUGCAUAAUUAUGAAAGAUGAGUAAAUAAUAAAGAAAAAAGAUAGUGAACUAACUUUAAAAGUUUAAAGAUAACAGAAGAAUGUGUGAAGUUACAUAGCAGUUCAUGACUAAUUGCCAAAUGAUUAGCCUGGACAAGAAGUGUUAUGAAUUUAGGUAUUAUUAGAACUUGCCACUGUUUCUCCACCUGAGAAUCUCUCCCUGCUUUACCACGCUGUAGGAAUUUGGAAAGACAAAGGAAAGAAAUAUGAGAUAAUGUGGCUGGAAUUGGUGAGUUCUUGGUCUCGCUGACUUCCGGAGCGAAGCUACAGACCUUUAGGGUUGGAGGAAUCAUUGAAUUUUCCUUCAUCUCCUCCAUGCUGCUGCCCACUUCUCACAGAAGGUGGAAGACCAGCCCUUAGAUUGGCUUAACUGCUGACUGCUCUGUGAGAGGCCUCCUGGAAGACUGGUGUCAGACUCAGGUAGGAAUCCAUCUACUGCCAUGUGCAAGAAAAGAAAACUACCUUUUAAUAUGCUCAAAUGCUAAUGCAGAGGAAUAGAGAGGGAA
rnacentral:lncRNA from 1 species